rfam:Flavobacterium spartansii strain MST NODE_2_length_781930_cov_46.9408, whole genome shotgun sequence.
UAACCUCUGGCGAAAUACGUGAAUGUUA